rnacentral:lncRNA from 1 species
UUAGCUUUCUGUCGGGUGUGCUGAGGAUAGCUUGGAAGGGUGUGCUUCAUUCGGGUCCUAUAUUUAUGAUACUAGUAUUGAGUCGCCCCUCUUUUGGAAUUUGUUUAAAUUGUCCAUGAGUUCAUGAAUGUUUUCUUUAUGGACUUGCCCGAUAUGCCUUCGGAUAGUGAUAUUAACUUUGCCAUUAAUGUUAAGUUGGGCACCAAGCCCAUCUCUAUUUCUCUUUAUAGAUGGCCCCA